AGGACGAACGCUGGCGGCGUGCUUAACACAUGCAAGUCGAGCGGAAAGGCCCUUCGGGGUACUCGAGCGGCGAACGGGUGAGUAACACGUGAGCAACCUGCCCCUGGCUCUGGGAUAGCCUCCGGAAACGGGGAUUAAUACCGGACAUGACCUGCUGCCGCAUGGUGGCGGGUGGAAAGUUUUUCGGCCAGGGUGGGGCUCGCGGCCUAUCAGCUUGUGGGGGGUGACGGCCCACCAAGGCGACGACGGGUA
rnacentral:rRNA from 1 species